GAUAGGGGUCUAUUUAUGAACUCGUAGGUGUUCUUAUAAUUAAUACCCAAUUAAUCAAUUUAUUAGGUUCCUUAUGCUUGCGAACCAGUUAGAUUCUAUACACAUAUGAAUCUUCCCCAUAUUCGAAUAUCUGAAUGUCAGACUCAAGCUGAUGAUAUAUGAGUUUUUUAAUUAGGUAUGGUCCUCGCUGUAUCAAUCAAGUCCCAUUGAAAUAUUGAAACGUUGUUCAUACAUCUUUGAAUGACCUUUUAUGUGCUGACAAUAUGUUCUGAAAUGAAGAGAUUUUACCCCUGAUGAAGGCUUGGAACAAGACGAAACGCGUUGGGUUAUUUAUCUAUCUAUUAUCUGAUGUUACCUCUGAAUCUACAAUAAGGAGAAGGAGGAAAUCGUAGUGAUAUAUCUACGCUUUUUCCUCAUCACUACAAACUGAUUGUUCAAAUUGUGCGACAAAUGUAAAUGUAUCAACUCUGUAUACUUAUGAACAUUUGUGUCGGGUUUAUAUGUUGUUUUAAUAAAUGUUUAUGUUAGUA